AGUUCCUGGAAGUUGGACCCAAGCUGGCAGUGCCCUCAAGGCAUUUGCACAAACUUUCUGCCCUGCUGAUUUUACCUCUGACCCCUAUUGUCCGGUCCUCAUACCAUAUCCGAAGAGAAAAGGCAUCCUUAGUCCAGUGAAUUUGAAUAAUUGCUCAUCCUCACAGAAUAAGCAAAAGUGGUUCCAUUUUAAAGGGAGCUCCCUCUCUACAGAGAUGAAAUUCUGCAUCCAGACUGCAAAGCUUGCUGAGCACAAGCAUCCUUGUGCGGGAUCAAGAGGGCGAGCUACCACCACCCAGCCCGAUUCUCUUCUUCAUUGCUUUGGCUUCGAAGCCCUGAGUGACUCGAAUGAAAACAUGUUUUGAAGCAAGAGCUUAUUCUGGGGCGUGUCUCUGUGGAAGAGCUCAAGGUGUCGUCAUUCAACUCGGGUACUGGUGGGCACACAGUGACAGAGAAGAAUGAGAGCGAGGGUGGCAGGGUGUCACAGGGAGCAGGGCAAGCAUUCAACAUUUCAAACACUUGGCAGCUCCCAGGAGAUAGUCUGCAGUGGGAGGAAUAAGCCAGCCAGCCAUCCGAGACCCUCUGAGGCUGCUGUGCGCUUGCGCAGCUUUUCAUCUUUCCUUCAAAGCUUAACACCUCUAGGAGAUGUCGCCACCUUAGCAGGAACGUGAGACCUGACUCCAGGGGACAGAGAAGCCAGCACACUGGACUUAGAGGGUGCUGCAAUGGUGAUUAAAAAAAAAAAAAAAUCACCCAGAUUCACACAGCCCGGAGCAGCUGCACCCAAAAGCUGCCACUCCCUUUCUGUCUGGCUGCUGCCUAGGUGAACACACAUGGAAGCCAUUCAGAGCUGUCUUCACCUCUCGCCCACCGAGGACCCAGCCUGUCUUUCUAGCCCAAGCAUAUGGAGCAGUCAUUGGCACUCAGAUACGAAAGGCUGGGUAAAGCAAAGAUGCAUAGCGGAAGGUCUCAGGCUCAGCUCAAGCUUUGUGGGACACACUGAACUUAUAACAGGACCCAUGAUGUCCCAAGGAUGCACUGAACAUGUGUCUGAUAAGCUCCAUCUGAUCCUCAGUGUUCUGGACUCUCAGAGAAGACCUCCCCCCUUGAAUGAGAAGACCCUUAAAGGCCACCUGAAGGAACUCCAAGAUCAGGAGCUGCCACGGAAUGAAGAAUUGAAAGAGCAUGAUUGGACUUUGGGAAGGAUGCGGUAAGGGUGGUUGAUGGAGUAGAGAAGAUGGAUCUGGGGCAGCUCUUGAGGGAGCCAAGCUUGGCACGGAUUGGCUGGAGCUUUGAGAGGUGUUGAUAGGAGGAGCCUCCAAGAGCCAUUUGUAAACAUCGGUGCUUCCUGAAUGCUUCCCGAGUGCCCUGCCAUAAUACCCUGCUGUAAAAUGUAUUAUUUUUAAUAUAAGUAUAAAUAGUGAAUUAAUCCUAACAGAUAUAAAAUUCCACUGAACUGCAGAAAAAAAGCAUUUCUCUGCUG
rnacentral:lncRNA from 1 species